CCUACGGGUGGCUGCAGUAGGGAAUCUUCCACAAUGGGCGAAAGCCUGAUGGAGCACCGCCGCGUGGGUGAAGAAGGUCUUCGGAUCGUAAAACCCUGUUGUUAGAGAAGAAAGUGCGUGAGAGUAACUGUUCACGAUUCGACGGUAUAUAACCAGAAAGCCACGGCUAACUACGUGCUAGCAGCCGCGGUAAUACGUAGGUGGGAAGCGUUAUCCAGAUUUAUUGGGCGUAAAGGGAACGCCGGCGGUCGUUUAAGUCUGAUGUGAAAGCCUUCGGCUUAACCGGAGUAGUGCAUUGGAGACUUGGAGACUUGAGUGCAGAAGAGGAGAGUGGACCUCCAUGUGUAGCGGUGAAAUGCGUAGAUAUAUGGAAGAACACCAGUGGCGAAAGCGGCUCUCUGGUCUGUAACGGACGCUGAGGUUCGAAAGCGUGGGUAGCAAACAGGAUUAGAUACCCCAGUAGUC
rnacentral:rRNA from 1 species